AAUCACGUCUGACUUCCUGUCCCUCUACAAUUCUUUGUGUCAGGGGUCACCAGACUUUAAAGGCGUCGCGUGGCUCUGCUGCCGACUCUGUAGCGCCGUGACCUGUACCGAGUAGUAGGGAGGACGCCGGGGGACCCAGGAGCCUCAGCAAUGGUGUAUUGACAUCUUGGGGGGCACCUCAUUCCACGUUGGCGGUGGACAGCUUGUCUGGAGCAGGCCUCUCAUGUGCAUCCCGCCUGAUCCAGUGCCCUGUCCCUACAGACCUCCUUAUCUGCCUCUCACACGCCAGACAGUAUCCCCUGCCCUAAACCCACCCAGGGCCAGGAACCAGAUGACUGAGGACCAUCCCCAGGCCCCAGAGGCUGCUGGGAUUGUUCAAAGCAGCCAGUCCUGAGCUGCUCACUCUGCCCUGACUCACAUUUCCUGUGGGACCCAAAUGAAGGCCGUGGCCUGGGUUUGUGUCCCAUUCCUGAUUCUCCCUCCUGAGCAACCCUGAUGCAGCCCCUAUGACCCUGUCUGGCAUGGUGUGCCCCCUUGUCUUGGGAAAUCGUGUCCUGUUUGUACUGUGUGGUGUGAGGAAGGGUGAAAUCCCUUCCCCAUCUGGAGGAGCUGAGACCCCCUCUUUGGGGAUUUGUUUGGGAGCCAGGAGACACCCCUCUACCAGGUGGCAUGGGAGUGAGAACAACACACCUUGUGAAGAUCCGGGCCUGUGAUGAGGUAUGAGGGCUUCCUUUAUCCUCUUUAAUGUGGUCCUCAGUCGAUGUCUUGAGUGGAAUCUGUGUGUUUAGAGUGAAGGUGAGACUGAGGCUGGAGUUGCCUCGAUGUUAGGGGGCACCUGGGGUUACAAGGAUGAUUAAACCCUUGAAUGAGCUGAGCCCAUCAGAUGGUCACUACUUAAACAGCAAUUAUGUCAGAGAAAAAGAAGAGACAGGAAAAUGCAGCAAGAUUCCAGAGGGCUCACCAGCGCCCGUAAGUCACUCUGCUGCUGCUACCCCUGCAUCUAUUGCAACAAAGAUCCUGACCCUCUGGGCUAUAGUGGACAACACCCACAGUCUGAGUUUGGCACAGCAAAGGGAUUAGUUCAAACCUGACUUAAGCCUGCGUUCCUUAAACUCUGUAAAGCAACCAGUUGUCAUGGAGGAGGCCUCUGACCCUGAUGGCUAUGGUGUGAGGCUCUCUGGAGGAGGGCCUUAAGUCAUCCAUAGGCUUCUGUUGCAAGAAACUGCCCUAGGUCCCCGCAAUAUAUGCCAUUAGAGAUGCUGUUGUCUCCAGGAACUGAGACCUCUUGAAAAUAGAGGCUCUCACAGGCACUGAGCAUGAGACCCUCUACCGAGGUGCCUGUUAUAUCUUUGGCCCCGGAGACAGCACCCUGCCAGCUCAGCCCAGCUACUGACUCCUACUUGUGAUAUGAUGGAGCCUAACCUUGGAGCUGUAGCUUAUGCCACCAGCGGGGGGAGAAUGGCAUUUCUUUCUUCAGUUCAUUGAAAGAUGCUAUAGUGGUGGAGGAGGUCACACUUCUCCCAGACACCUUGGCUCUCUGGGUAGUUCCUCUGGAUUAACUGAAUGCACAGCACUGGGGAGUGCAUAGACUUUAAGGACAAUAAUACACAUUCAUACAUGC
rnacentral:lncRNA from 1 species